rnacentral:sRNA from 1 species
GCUGGGUGCGGUGGCACACGCCUGUGAUCACAGCGGCUUGGGAGGCUGAGGCAGGAGGAUUGCUAGUUCAAAGCCAGCCUCAGCAACUUAACCAGGCUCUAGCAACUUAGCAAGACCUGGUCUCUA